rnacentral:rRNA from 1 species
CUACGGGUCGCUGCAGUGGGGAAUAUUGCACAAUGGGCGCAAGCCUGAUGCAGCAACGCCGCGUGAGUGAAGAAGGCCUUCGGGUUGUAAAACUCUGUCCAAUGGGAAGAAACAAAUGACGGUACCAUUGGAGGAAGCCCCGGCUAACUACGUGCCAGCAGCCGCGGUAAUACGUAGGGGGCAAGCGUUAUCCGGAAUCACUGGGCGUAAAGGGUGCGUAGGUGGCUUAUCAAGCCAGGGGUGAAAGGCAUUGGCUCAACCAAUGUAAGCCUUUGGAACUGAUAGGCUUGAGUGCAGGAGAGGUAAGUGGAAUUCCUAGUGUAGAGGUGAAAUUCGUAGAUAUUAGGAGGAACACCAGUGGCGAAGGCGACUUACUGGACUGUAACUGACACUGAGGCACGAAAGCGUGGGUAGCGAACAGGAUUAGAUACCCCAGUAGUC